UACGUAGGGUGCGGGCGUUAAUCGGAAUUACUGGGCGUAAAGCGUGCGCAGGCGGUGAUGUAAGACAGUUGUGAAAUCCCCGGGCUCAACCUGGGAACUGCAUUUGUGACUGCAUCGCUGGAGUGCGGCAGAGGGGGAUGGAAUUCCGCGUGUAGCAGUGAAAUGCGUAGAUAUGCGGAGGAACACCGAUGGCGAAGGCAAUCCCCUGGGCCUGCACUGACGCUCAUGCACGAAAGCGUGGGGAGCAAACAGG
rnacentral:rRNA from 1 species